GAUGAACGCUAGCUACAGGCUUAACACAUGCAAGUCGAGGGGUAACGAGAGGAAAGCUUGCUUUCCUUGUCGACGACCGGCGCACGGGUGAGUAACGCGUAUCCAACCUGCCCCCAACUAAGGAAUAACCUUGCGAAAGUAAGACUAAUACCUUAUAAUUUCCUCAGAUGUCAUCUAACGAGGAAUCAAGAUUUAUUGGUUGUGGAUGGGGAUGCGUCUGAUUAGCUUGUUGGCGGGGUAACGGCCCACCAAGGCAACGAUCAGUAGGGGUUCUGAGAGGAAGGUCCCCCACAGUGGAACUGAGACACGGUCCAAACUCCUACGGGAGGCAGCAGUGAGGAAUAUUGGUCAAUGGGCGGAAGCCUGAACCAGCCAAGUAGCGUGCAGGAUGACGGCCCUAUGGGUUGUAAACUGCUUUUAUACAGGAAUAAAGUUAGCCACGUGUGGUUAUUUGUAGGUACUGUAUGAAUAAGGACCGGCUAAUUCCGUGCCAGCAGCCGCGGUAA
rnacentral:rRNA from 1 species